AGAGUUUGAUCCUGGCUCAGGACGAGCGCUGGCGGCGUGCUUAACACAUGCAAGUCGAACGGAAAGGCCCUGCUUUUGUGGGGUGCUCGAGUGGCGAACGGGUGAGUAACACGUGAGUAACCUGCCCUUGACUUUGGGAUAACUUCAGGAAACUGGGGCUAAUACCGGAUAGGAGCUCCUGCUGCAUGGUGGGGGUUGGAAAGUUUCGGCGGUUGGGGAUGGACUCGCGGCUUAUCAGCUUGUUGGUGGGGUAGUGGCUUACCAAGGCUUUGACGGGUAGCCGGCCUGAGAGGGUGACCGGCCACAUUGGGACUGAGAUACGGCCCAGACUCCUACGGGAGGCAGCAGUGGGGGAUAUUGCACAAUGGGCGGAAGCCUGAUGCGGCAACGCCGCGUGCGGGAUGACGGCCUUCGGGUUGUAAACCGCUUUCGCCUGUGACGAAGCGUGAGUGACGGUAAUGGGUAAAGAAGCACCGGCUAACUACGUGCCAGCAGCCGCGGUGAUACGUAGGGUGCGAGCGUUGUCCGGAUUUAUUGGGCGUAAAGGGCUCGUAGGUGGUUGAUCGCGUCGGAAGUGUAAUCUUGGGGCUUAACCCUGAGCGUGCUUUCGAUACGGGUUGACUUGAGGAAGGUAGGGGAGAAUGGAAUUUCCUGGUGGAGCGGUGGAAUGCGCAGAUAUCAGGAGGAACACCAGUGGCGAAGGCGGUUCUCUGGGCCUUUCCUGACGCUGAGGAGCGAAAGCGUGGGGAGCGAACAGGCUUUAGAUACCCUGGUAGUCCACGCUGUAAACGGUGGGUACUAGUGUGGGGUCCAUUCCACGGGGUUCCGUGCCGUAGCUAACGCUUUUAAGUACCCCGCCUGGGGGAGUACGGCCGCAAGGCUUAAACUCAAAGGAAUUUGACGG
rnacentral:rRNA from 1 species